rnacentral:rRNA from 1 species
UGGGGAAUAUUGCACAAUGGGCGCUAGCCUGAUGCAGCCAUGCCGCGUGUAUGAAGAAGGCCUUCGGGUUGUAAAGUACUUUCAGCGGGGAGGAAGGGAGUAAAGUUAAUACCUUUGCUCAUUGACGUUACCCGCAGAAGAAGCACCGGCUAACUCCGUGCCAGCAGCCGCGGUAAUACGGAGGGUGCAAGCGUUAAUCGGAAUUACUGGGCGGAAAGCGCACGCAGGCGGUUUGUUAAGUCAGAUGUGAAAUCCCCGGGCUCAACCUGGGAACUGCAUCUGAUACUGGCAAGCUUGAGUCUCGUAGAGGGGGGUAGAAUUCCAGGUGUAGCGGUGAAAUGCGUAGAGAUCUGGAGGAAUACCGGUGGCGAAGGCGGCCCCCUAGACGAAGACUGACGCUCAAGUGCGAAAGCGUGGGGAGCAAACAGG